rnacentral:pre_miRNA from 1 species
UGACUACUCCCUCCGUUUGGAAUUACUUGUCUCGAAUAUGGAUGUAUCUAGAACUAAAAUAUGUCUAGAUACAUCCAUUUCUACGACAAGUAAUUCCGAACGGAGGGAGUAGAAC